AUCAUGGCUCAGGAUGAACGCUAGCUACAGGCUUAACACAUGCAAGUCGAGGGGCAUCAGGGUGUAGCAAUACACCGCUGGCGACCGGCGCACGGGUGAGUAACACGUAUCCAACCUGCCCUUUACUCGGGGGAUAGCCGUUUCGAAAGAAAGAUUAAUACCCGAUGGCAUAACAUGACCUCCUGGUUUUGUUAUUAAAGAAUUUCGGUAGAGGAUGGGAUGCGUUCCAUUAGGCAGUUGGCGGGGUAACCGG
rnacentral:rRNA from 1 species